GACAAGUGUCAUAUUAUGUAAGGAUUGAUAUCGAUUUAGUGUGAUUGUAUUGUUAUUGCUUAUAUAAUAUUUUAUCCUUUGUGCUACACUUUUUGAAGUCAGUCUGCAUAAACUUUGACUAAUAUAUUAAGAUAUAUUUUUUUAUCAUAUUAAUAUGAGAAGGAUUAUAACUUAUAGUAAUAUUUUUCGUACUCUUUCUGACCAUCUAAAUUUUAAAUAUUAAAAUGAAGUGGUUUGAGAAUUGUAAUUUAAGGUACGAAUUCGAGUGAUGGAAAAUCACAAGGUGUCAUCUAUCCACGCUUUGGACUUUUGAGGAUAUAGUUAGUUACCCGGUACUUCUGCUGGUGGGAGGUAGCAGGUACCCCUGAAACUAGUAGCGUUGCGCACAAGUUGAACCGAACACCAUAGUUAUCAAAAGAAAAAGAAGUAGCAUCAAUGCCCAUUUUGGGUGAUAUGCUUCACUUUUUAAACAUUAUGUUAGUAAGUUGGACAGCUAAAUUGUUGUUUGCAUAAGUUGGAUUAUGAUUGCAGUAUUGUACUGUUACUAUGCUUCACUUUUUAAACAUUAUGUUAGUAAGUUGGACAGCUAAAUUAUUGUUUGCAUAAGUUGGAUUAUGAUUGCAGUAUUGUACUGUUACUGUGAUGUCCUCCUUUUUAAAUUUUGGCAGGCUUGAAUAUUAUAGUAUAUAAAAAGUUCUACCUUUUCAUCUCGC
rnacentral:lncRNA from 1 species